rnacentral:rRNA from 1 species
CCCUUAGAUGUCCUGGGCCGCACGCGUGCUACACUGACGCCUACAGCGAGCACUUUCCAGUUCCGAGAGGCUACUGGUAAUCAUCAAUAUGCGUCGUGAUGGGGAUAGAUCUUUGGAAUUCUGGAUCUUGAACGAGGAAUGCCUAGUAAUCGCAGGUCAUUAGCCUGCGAUGAUUAAGUCCCUGCCCUUUGUACACACCGCCCGUCGCUACUACCGAUUUCGAGUGGUCAGGUGAAUCUUUCGGACUGUGGGCGCCCUUGAGGUGUUCGCGGAAAGUCAGGUAAAUCUUAUCACUUAGAGGAAGUAAAAGUCGUAACA